rnacentral:lncRNA from 1 species
GAUGAAUUUGUAUGUCAUUUACUGCCGAAUGCUGCAAUACGCAGUUGUAACAUGUUUAAUUUCUUUGAAUUUCUAAUUAGCUAGCAAUAAGCCGUGGGCCUCAAUGCCCACCAAAUCAUCUAGAUAUCAGCAUUUGAAUUUUUGAAAUUGGAAUAAGAUGUGGGCCCUAAUUCUUCUACCGACUCCUUGACCCAAAUCAACUUUCGUGGGACCCAUGAGCCAUCAGCAGGUCAAUCACCCAUCAGUAGAAAUCCACCAACGAGACUCCGGCAAAUCUACCAUAGAUCCGACCGAACUCCAGCAUCGGCACACUCACAGCAUCAACAAACCACUAUGAACGCCGACAAAGAUAAUGAGAUCAACACAGAUUUAAAGACCAUAAAACAGCUGCUCACACCCACACCGAUUACCAUCAAUUAGCUCCAAAAGGGUGGGCCAAUUAACAGAAUGGGAAUGGAAGAAAUAGCAGUUCAUAUCAUAUACUCCCCAGAAUCUGGCCAAUCUAACCAAACAAACCGGCGUUGCCUAGUUUAUAAACACCCAUGAACAGAUAUGCGACAACAGUAGGUGAUAAAACGAGCAUAAAUGAACUUAGAUUAGAAACAAAUCUAAGAAUCAAAUUCAAAGCAAGCAAAUUUGAAAGGGAAUCAAAACAACCUAUGAAUUCACAGCAAUAAACAUAGGAAAAAACAAUAAGUAAGGAAAUAAUAGGUAAAACAACAAAGACCAACCCAGCCAGCCCCAUUAUUAAUGGUAUCAAAAUUUCUCAGCUUUAGAUGAGAGAGAGAGACGAAGAUGAGAAUG